UCAUUCGGAUUCGCCAUCAUACGUCCAACCGUGCAUUUGUAAUGCAUAUAUAUGCAUCACGAGCCACGGUUGGGCUGUAUGAUGGCGAUACCGAUUGG
rnacentral:pre_miRNA from 1 species